ACUCCUACGGGAGGCAGCAGUGGGGAAUAUUGCACAAUGGGGGAAACCCUGAUGCAGCCAUGCCGCGUGUGUGAAGAAGGCCUUCGGGUUGUAAAGCACUUUCAGUAGGGAGGAAGGUAGUGUAGUUAACACCUGCAUUAUUUGACGUUACCUACAGAAGAAGCACCGGCUAACUCCGUGCCAGCAGCCGCGGUAAUACGGAGGGUGCGAGCGUUAAUCGGAAUUACUGGGCGUAAAGCGCAUGCAGGUGGUUUGUUAAGUCAGAUGUGAAAGCCCGGGGCUCAACCUCGGAAUAGCAUUUGAAACUGGCAGACUAGAGUACUGUAGAGGGGGGUAGAAUUUCAGGUGUAGCGGUGAAAUGCGUAGAGAUCUGAAGGAAUACCGGUGGCGAAGGCGGCCCCCUGGACAGAUACUGACACUCAGAUGCGAAAGCGUGGGGAGCAAACAGGAUUAGAUACCCUGGUAGGAUAGCG
rnacentral:rRNA from 1 species